CAAGCAACUCUUGAUCCUAUUCCACGUAUUAGCGUUGUUCACCCUCUUCUGCAACCAAUUGGAGUAAUCCCCGAGCCUAUACUCCUUAUAGCCUCUGCCAGACACGGUCUCACCAGCGCCCUUGUUUGUGACAACGAAGGCGAAGAUGGUGAAGGCGAAGAGAAGAACGAUGAGCAAGAACAUCACGAGCAGGUAGAGCCAGAGGAGCCACGACACGCGACAGCACGCGCCGAUGAGGCCGGCUAGAGAGACGAUCAUCAGAAAAACGCCGAGCGCGAUCACCGGCUUCUCCAGCCACCGCUCGCACUCGGUGGUGCCCUGCUUGCUCAGCCACACUCCGC
rnacentral:lncRNA from 1 species